AUUUGCUACACUUUUAUUCUGUCUCUCUUCUCUUUUUUCCAUGUUGCCUGGUGGCGCCUCGCUGGAGUUCCCAGGAAGCCAGUGCACGCUUGUGACCAAGUGAGAUGCAACAGAAGAGGCUUGGCGACUCCUCCACCAGAUGCAGCAGGCAUUUUGGGCUGCCCAAGCUUCUGCAGUGAACGUGUCCCGUUCCUGGUAAAGUUGUGGGCGUUCCUGGAUGUGCCCAGUCCCCCGGAUCCCUGCCGUCUCCUGUUUCACACUCUCGCUGAGGUCCUUUGGGGCUUGGUGUCGCUUGUCCCUCGUGCUCACGUUGCUGUCACCGGGUGUUCUUCCUUUCCCCAUGCCCGGCUCUGCCCAGUGCUGAUGGGAUGCCAGUGCCACUUGCUGCUCUUAAUAAAAGGUAGGUUCAAUUCCUUUUGGCUCCUGUAGUAUUUGCUACACUUGUGUUCUGUUUCUCCUUGCUUUUUUCCAUGUUGCCUGGCUGUGCCUCGCUGGAGUUCCCAUGAGCCCCAGGCACACUUGUGACCAAGUGAGGUGCCAAAAACAGAGGAUUGGCGACUCCACCACCAGAAGUAGCAGGCAUUUUGGGAUAUCCAAGGUUCCGCAGUGAACGUGUCCUGUUCCUGGUAAAGGUGUGGGCGUUCCUGGACACGAAGGUAUCUAUCUUCAUGCCUUGCCCAUGUGCCCAGUCCCCCACCAGAUGCUGUUUGCCUUUUGGCCCCCCUGAUUUGCUGCACUGCUGCGCCCUGAUCCUUGCAGAGGGCCUGUGAUUGGUCACCGGCAGCGCUGUCCCGCCCUCGUCAGGCUGUGAUCGGUCACCGGCAGCGCCGGCUCGCCCUCACCAGCCUGUGAUUGGUCAUCGGCAGCGC